UGUUUGAUGUUCUAACGUGGACCCGUGAUCCGGGUUGCGGACAGUGUCUGGUGGGUAGUUUGACUGGGGCGGUCUCCUCCUAAAGAGUAACGGAGGAGCACGAAGGUUGGCUAAUCCUGGUCGGACAUCAGGAGGUUAGUGCAAUGGCAUAAGCCAGCUUGACUGCGAGCGUGACGGCGCGAGCAGGUGCGAAAGCAGGUCAUAGUGAUCCGGUGGUUCUGAAUGGAAGGGCCAUCGCUCAACGGAUAAAAGGUACUCCGGGGAUAACAGGCUGAUACCGCCCAAGAGUUCAUAUCGACGGCGGUGUUUGGCACCUCGAUGUCGGCUCAUCACAUCCUGGGGCUGAAGUAGGUCCCAAGGGUAUGGCUGUUCGCCAUUUAAAGUGGUACGCGAGCUGGGUUUAGAACGUCGUGAGACAGUUCGGUCCCUAUCUGCCGUGGGCGCUGGAGAACUGAGGGGGGCUGCUCCUAGUACGAGAGGACCGGAGUGGACGCAUCACUGGUGUUCGGGUUGUCAUGCCAAUGGCACUGCCCGGUAGCUAAAUGCGGAAGAGAUAAGUGCUGAAAGCAUCUAAGCACGAAACUUGCCCCGAGAUGAGUUCUCCCUGAGACUUAGAGUC
rnacentral:rRNA from 2 species